CCCAACGUCAGAGGUCCAUGCCAGUGAAAGCGGAGACUGUUGAGCUCAGUAGUCGAGAGCGCCAGGUGUUGUACCUGUUUGGAUAAAUCGAGUGGUUGCCUCGGCCAAGACAAGGGCUAUACUGAUAAUACCGCAGAAGACAGCAGUCCUCAGGGUCAUCUCAGCGUACCGUACAGUUUCCGACGAGGCAUCGCUAUUUCUGACCGUCAUGCCACCGGCCGACCUCCUAAACCUGAGGAGGUUGAGAAUUAGGGCUUGCCUGUACGCUCUUAUCCUACCCGGAGAUUCACCUGAUCUGUCCAAGUAUGCUGUCAGAAGGAACGCAAGACGACGGUUGUCCAAGUAUACGUCACGUCAUUUCUGUUGUCGGGAGUGGAUAGGAAGAACGAUACCGAAGGUGCAACUCACAUAUCACAUGACCCGGGAAUGGCUGCUUCCAGCACUACCUGCACCAGAUGGGUAGGGCUGCCAGUGCAUGGUGCAAUCACUAUGGCAGCAAAGCCAACACUUCCGAAUUCACAUUGUUGCGCACCUCAAGCUGCUUACUGACCUCUGAGUCUUACCUUCCACUAAAACUGUGUGGUUUUGCUUUAGAGGGUCUACCCUCUGACUAGGAAGAAAAGAUGACAGUCCUCAGGGUCGCUGAAGAAUUUCUGGGUGUUCUAAGCGAUAUUGGAAAACAUCCUGACUGCAGAGGAUGGCAAGGCAGACGGCCGAGAGAAGGUGACACGAUCCUUCCGCUAAGCGUCUGCCGACUCCCCUCCCACCAAGGAGUACGAGAGUCAAAAGAGUGGUGUGCUCAUGCCGGCUCGCAAACAGGCGAGUCAGAAUGGAAUGUCAAGGACUUAGCCCUGCUCGUCGUUUCAUUUGUUUCUAGGAACGACAUUGCCCACAGUCAAUGCAUCAUUAGCUAAUAUUCUUUCAAUAUUCCUAGACCUGGUAGAAUUUGACGAUCAAUCUAAAAAUGAAUUGCUUUUUCUCAGGGGAAACAUUGAAAGGCUGUUGAAAAUUAAUAGAAGUUUUAUUAACAUGUGUCUAUCAAUAUGUGAUGAAUAGAAUUCAAGAUGGCAACCAAAUUGGCUGUAAUACACUCACUCUGAAAAGUGGAAUAUUCUUUUACUUCCAAUUAUGUUUAUAGCAAUUUAAUGCUAGACAUAGUUUAUCGGGAACAUAUUUGAGACAUUGUAAUCAUCCUGAUCCUAUAGCAAUUCUAUACCAAGGAGAACCAUUUUUAUGUGCUAACUUUGUUCAAUUUAAAUGCCAAUUAGCCACAGCCUUGGCACAUUAGCUGUGGGAUUAAAGUUUGUUUGCCAAGGCUGAGGUAUUUAGACUGUUCCAAGUUUACUUAUAAAAACAACAGACCUUGUCACAUCAGAGUUGUCACUAUUUCAGAACAAUAAGAUUAUAUGAAAUAUAACCCCAAAAAUAGAUGGGUAUUGAGAUAAAAUUAUAACGUGAUUUAACCAACUAAUGAAUAAAAAUGUUGU